UUUCAAGAGACAAACUGCUAGCAGACAUCAAACUUGAGAGGUUUGAACACAGCUCAAUACCUCCUGAAGCCUUAGGUGAAGUGCAAGAUGUGGCUACUGCUAUUCUGAAGAGGUUCUGGUCUGUCCUUACUGAAUUUCUUCAACAAUGGAAUAUACCACCAGGAGUAAUCCCAGACCUUCUAACCAAUGUCAAGGUUGAGGUGCUUAAAUCGACGGAUCUUAUGGCAGCAAAAUAAACCCAGCAUCCUUGAAGCCCGGCAAUGCUCCACAAUGAAAGCAAAAACACCGUGCAAUACUUUUCUAUGAAAUGUUGUGCAGCGGAUAUCCUUACGAUUCAAGAACCAAGUAGAGUUAGUAUUCUUAAGUGUCAACUAUCCUUUAGAAUUUCAGCAAGUACCUUGAAUUAACAAGUGCCAAGAAAGGCAAAAAUUCAGGGAUUUUUGAUGUAUUUUAAAAUAUCUCUU